GAUGAACGCUGGCGGCGUGCCUAAUACAUGCAAGUCGAGCGAGCAGACGAGGAGCUUGCUCCUCUGACGUUAGCGGCGGACGGGUGAGUAACACGUGGAUAACCUACCUAUAAGACUGGGAUAACUUCGGGAAACCGGAGCUAAUACCGGAUAAUAUAUUGAACCGCAUGGUUCAAUAGUGAAAGACGGUUUUGCUGUCACUUAUAGAUGGAUCCGCGCCGCAUUAGCUAGUUGGUAAGGUAACGGCUUACCAAGGCAACGAUGCGUAGCCGACCUGAGAGGGUGAUCGGCCACACUGGAACUGAGACACGGUCCAGACUCCUACGGGAGGCAGCAGUAGGGAAUCUUCCGCAAUGGGCGAAAGCUGGACGGAGCAACGCCGCGUGAGUGAUGAAGGUCGUCGGAUCGUAAAACUCUGUUAUUAGGGAAGAACAAAUGUGUAAGUAACUAUGCACGUCUUGACGGUACCUAAUCAGAAAGCCACGGCUAACUACG
rnacentral:rRNA from 1 species